GACGAACGCUGGCGGCGUGCUUAACACAUGCAAGUCGAACGGAAAGGCCUCUUUCGGGGGGUACUCGAGUGGCGAACGGGUGAGUAACACGUGAGUAACCUGCCCUUGACUUUGGGAUAACUUCAGGAAACUGGGGCUAAAACCGGAUAGGAGCUCCUGCUGCAUGGUGGGGGUUGGGAAGUUUCGGCGGUUGGGGAUGGACUCGCGGCUUAUCAGCUUGUUGGUGGGGUAGUGGCUUAUCAAGGCUUUGACGGGUAACCGGCCUGAGAGCGUGACCGGCCACCAGGGGACUGCGAUACGCAGCAGUGGGCAACAGGGGACCGCAGGGGGGAGCAUGGCCCAACGGGCGGACGUCUGUGAAAACAGGCUCCGGAUUGGAAGGACCGUCAAGUGGGGGGAAAGGGCAGUCACCUAUGACCAAGCUUGAGUGACGGUAACGGGAAAAGAAGCACCGGCUAACUACGUG
rnacentral:rRNA from 1 species